GAUGAACGCUGGCGGCGUGCCUAAUACAUGCAAGUCGAGCGAACAGACGAGGAGCUUGCUCCUCUGACGUUAGCGGCGGACGGGUGAGUAACACGUGGAUAACCUACCUAUAAGACUGGGAUAACUUCGGGAAACCGGAUCUAAUACCGGAUAAUAUAUUGAACCGCAUGGUUCAAUAGUGAAAUACGGUUUUUCUGUCACUUAUAGAUGGAUCCGCGCCGCAUUAGCUAGUUGGUAAGGUAACGGCUUACCAAGGCGACGAUGCGUAAACGACCUGAGAGGGUGAUAGGCCACACUGGAACUGAGACACGGACAAGACGACUAAGGGAGGCAGCAGAAGGGAAUCUUCCGCAAUGGGCGAAAGCCUGACGGAGCAACGCCGCGUGAGUGAUGAAGGUCUUCGGAUCGUAAAACUCUGUUAUUAGGGAAGAACAAAUGUGUAAGUAACUAUGCACGUCUUGACGGUACCUAAUCAGAAAGCCACGGCUAACUACGUG
rnacentral:rRNA from 1 species